GAUGAACGCUGGCGGCGUGCCUAAUACAUGCAAGUCGAGCGAACGGACGAGAAGCUUGCUUCUCUGAUGUUAGCGGCGGACGGGUGAGUAACACGUGGAUAACCUACCUAUAAGACUGGGAUAACUUCGGGAAACCGGAGCUAAUACCGGAUAAUAUUUUGAACCGCAUGGUUCAAAAGUGAAAGACGGUCUUGCUGUCACUUAUAGAUGGAUCCGCGCUGCAUUAGCUAGUUGGUAAGGUAACGGCUUACCAAGGCAACGAUGCAUAGCCGACCUGAGAGGGUGAUCGGCCACACUGGAACUGAGACACGGUCCAGACUCCUACGGGAGGCAGCAGUAGGGAAUCUUCCGCAAAGGGCGAAAGCCUGACGGAGCAACGCCGCGUGAGUGAUGAAGGUCUUCGGAUCGUAAAACUCUGUCAUUAGGGAAGAACAUAUGUGUAAGUAACUGUGCACAUCUUGACGGUACCUAAUCAGAAAGCCACGGCUAACUACGUG
rnacentral:rRNA from 1 species